AGUCGUCCGCGCCGACUCGCACAAGAAGGAACCCCGGGCCUCUGGAUCCGCUCGCCCGGCUAUGCUGCUGUGGCCGCUGCGGGGCUGGGCCGCCCGGGCGCUGCGCUGCUUUGGGCCGGGAAGUCGCGGGAGCCCGGCCUCAGGCCCCGGGCCGCGGAGGGUGCAGCGCCGGGCCUGGCCUCCCGGUAACGCGCGUCUUGGUCCCGCCUCCCAGGAGCCCCUAUGCGCCCACCUACUCCCGGCCCCUCGGCUUCCGGAACCCGCCCGAGCCCGAAGCGCCUCUUCCGAGGCGCGGGAUUUCCUCCCCGGCUGCGGCUGGGACGGGGGCGGCCAUCGGCCGUUACCCGGGCGCGAGACCGCAGCGAGCGCUGGGGGCGCUCGGCUUUGGUUCUGGGAUGGAGAGAGGGCCUUUAAAGAGCAGGACGGACACGCUCUGAACAUUCCGGCCCAAACUCGGUCCCCCGACCCAUUUCCUGUCCCGAUUCUUUCGACCUUGGGGGCGAUGGGGACUGGGAGCUGCCUUAAGCCGAUUCUGCUCACACUCUGGUGCCAGCGUGGGGGAGGGGGGUUACGCCCCCGGCGCUCUCCUGCCCUCCCUGGGAGUGGGGACCCACACAGAAACGGGUCACUGUUACACCCGGGUUCUGGUGUCCGCCAUAUGGCUGUUGAGAGACGCCUCAGAACCACCUGUGGGACGGAUGGGCAGCGAUGCCCGCCCUGGGCCUAGAGGAACACCUGGGUCCCAGGCCCAAAACCACGUCCGCCGCCCACUCUUCCCCGUGCACCGCGAGUGGAGGCUGUUCUGCCUUUCCACUUGCUUAACAUCCAGUCUGUGAAGAUCUAAAUAAAUAACGUGGAAAAUGCAAAGUAUAAUGUACUAAGUGAAAGAACUCGAGCACACUGGGGGUCCACGAAGCUGCAGCUGCAGCCCAGGGUGGCACAUCGGCGAGACGGUGGUGCGCGCCUCCAAUCUCGGAGGGCGCCCAAAAUGGAAAAUGUUUUUAGGCCAGGGAGUGAGCAUAAACAUUAGUGUUUUUGUGGUCAUGUAGCAAAUUAGGGCAGAGGAGAGUUAUUUAAAAGUGAGUUUAAAAACUGAUUUCCUUUCUUUUGUAGAUAAAGAACAGGAAAAAGAGAAAAAAUCAGUGAUCUGUGUCGAGGGCAAUAUUGCAAGUGGGAAGACGACAUGCCUGGAAUUCUUCUCCAACGCGACAGACGUCGAGGUGUUAACGGAGCCUGUGUCCAAGUGGAGAAAUGUCCGUGGCCACAAUCCUCUGGGCCUGAUGUACCACGAUGCCUCUCGCUGGGGUCUUACGCUACAGACUUAUGUGCAGCUCACCAUGCUGGACAGGCAUACUCGUCCUCAGGUGUCAUCUGUACGGUUGAUGGAGAGGUCGAUUCACAGCGCAAGAUACAUUUUUGUAGAAAACCUGUAUAGAAGUGGGAAGAUGCCAGAAGUGGACUAUGUAGUUCUGUCGGAAUGGUUUGACUGGAUCUUGAGGAACAUGGACGUGUCUGUUGAUUUGAUAGUUUACCUUCGGACCAAUCCUGAGACUUGUUACCAGAGGUUAAAGAAGAGAUGCAGGGAAGAGGAGAAGGUCAUUCCGCUGGAAUACCUGGAAGCAAUUCACCAUCUCCAUGAGGAGUGGCUCAUCAAAGGCAGCCUUUUCCCCAUGGCAGCCCCUGUUCUGGUGAUUGAGGCUGACCACCACAUGGAGAGGAUGUUAGAACUCUUUGAACAAAAUCGGGAUCGAAUAUUAACUCCAGAGAAUCGGAAGCAUUGCCCAUAGGAGGCAAAAGGUCUAUGGCUCAUGUCUGAAAAAUGCCUGCUGCUGCCAAGUUAGCUAUUGGGAGCAAUCUGGAAAAACUUGCUCCCAGGAGGGCUUUGUGUCUGGCCAGCUUGAUUUUCCUAAUGGUCUCAUCUCCUUUGCUAGUGUCUUUGUCAUGCGUCUCUGGCCCUCGUGGGUAAAUGACAAACGGGACCAAUGGGUUUGCCAAGCCCUUUGCUGUUCGCAGCCUCACAUUCCCCCGGUGCCUCUCCCAUGGCUUUGUGCUGCUGAGUCGCUCUCAUGAAGCCCUUAGGGAGAGCACCUGUUGUGUGCCUGACACCACGCUGGAGCUGUGUACCAAUCGUCUCAGCCUUCAUUAGGAGGCCGAGGUAGGAGUCUUAUAUCCCAGGUGAGGAAUUUGAAGCUCAGAAAGGUUGAGGGGCUCCCCAGAGGUCACACAGCCUGUGUGCAGUGGAGCUGGCACCAUUCAGACUUUCAGCCGACUCAGCAACUUUCCCUUGCCCUGGGCUGCCUCCUCCUGAGAGCUGUUCCCCACCGCCCUGCCUCUUCCGGUUGGAGGCUCUCAUGUCUCUUUGGGGAGAGCUGGCAGUGUGCGGAGCUGAUAACAUUUUCCCAAUAUUGAGCAGUUCCCAAGGACAGUCAGCAUUUCUAGACUUCCACAAAAUUAUGCUGCAUUUGGCUGGAGCCCGGUGUUCAGUGGUUUCCCUGCCCGAGGUCGCUGCAGCCCCAUCUACCACAUCUUCAUGUGGACAUUGAGAUUCACAUGCUGGCUCCUGAAGGGUGCUCAGUCUCCUUGGUGAUUAAGGUCCUGCUUGAACUGCUGCCAACUCCAUGUCAGGGAAGUCGCUUUUGGUGCCUGGCUGGUUUGCCCAGAGCCAAGCUGGGGCAAGGGGCAGCCAGCCCUGGCUUCCAAGGCUCCCGUACUGUCUGUGUCCUUGUAUAAGGAGCUUUGCUCUUGGAAUUACUGAAAGUCUGUGGCCCAAGAGAGAGACACAAGUGGCCUUAAGUCUUUUUGAAGUGUUAUUUCAUCCAGGGAAAUGCCUCGAGCCAUAGAGCCUGAAAUCAUCUUUGUUGGCUCAGAAAAUACCUUAGCUUCACUCAGCUGGACUGCAUUGAAGGCGAGGCUGCCCCUUGGAUCAAGCAGAAAACAAGAGAAAGAAAGAACGUUCCCUUUGGGGAUAGUCUGGAAAGUUGGGAUUUGCAAAUAAAGGCUCUGGAAGCAUUGCUGGUCCUGAAGCUUUGGAGGUGGGCAGAGAGAGCUUCAAGAAGACUAGAUGCAAACCCUGGAAAGGAUUAAGGCUCAACUCUGGAGAAACAGGCCACAGCCUCUCAGAGCAGCUGUUGGCUGUAAAUAGAGGUAGCAAGGCCGCUCCCAGGCCCCUGUGAGUGUGGGCACCUGUGCAUGCAAUGCUCCGACUCUGCAGAGGUGCCAAGUGCCCCUGCUGGGCCAGUCCCAGAGAGUUAGGAAGUCAAGGCCUGCAACUCCUGGUUCUUCCUGUUUGGACCAGUUCUUGUGCCAUUGGCAGGAUGAGAGGCAGCAGCCAGGCGGGAGCUGUGUCUAGCAGCACCUGUAGCCCACGUGCUGCUAAUUAGCUGGAAAACUGGCGAAGGCAGAACCUUUGCUACCAGGAAUCUUGACAUGUGGGGUCUGUCUUUGAGAAUUUGUAAAUGAACAGUCCAAUAUUUCCUCUCGGCUCAUUUUGCACAUCCAUUUUUGGGGAAAUGUGAUUUCUCUCUCUUUUUUUUUUUUUUUUUUUGCCUAAGGCACAAUCUCAAGAGGUCCUGAGACCACGUACCCAUGAUUUUUUUCUUGCUCUGUGAUACCCAAUAACUCCUUCACCUAAGCCCUGUUGUUGAUUUUGAAGUGCUUCCUAGGCCAGUGAUUUUAGCUUCUGCCAGCUGCUUUUGCCAGUAGAUUAACGUGUUUUUAUUUUUCAAACUCCGUGUUUCCUAACGUGGAGUGUAUGGGUCUAAGAGAGCCUGCUGUCCUCCCUGCCUUCCACCUUGGAGAGGAGGCUGGACGCAUCAGCAGUGGCCAGGGCAGGUCGCAAAAUCUCCCAGCCUAGAGACCACACCUGAAACGGCUGAAGCCAGCUUGCACAAGGGCUGCUGUCCCUCUGCGGCAGGCAGAGCUGGUGGGGGCAGGGGUCACAGAGCAGUCAUAGACACCAUGGACCAGGGCAGGAGAAGGGCAGAUGGCACAUGGGCACAACAGGGCCUUGUCCUUAGAGCACUGGGGGGUCAUGGCUGGGAGGGGCAUGGCAGGGGCUGGCAUCCCUGUAGAGCCAGAGGGGCCACCCAGGGCAGUGACAUUCCAGAUAUGUUGGGCUCACCUCAUCCUUGCUGUGAGACUGGAGUUCCAUGGGGACAUGAAGUCAGUACACCGCAGAGCUGCUCAGCUGCUCUACCUCUCGCUGACUUUUUUGUUGCACAUAUACAUUUUCUUUCAAUUAGCAUUUAUUUCAGCUUUUAUUUAAGCUUUUUGACAGUACAUGUAAAAUAUAUGAUUAUAACCAUUUAAAAAUACCUUAUGUACCUGGUUUUUUUUGGAAACUAGAUAGAAAUAUAUUUAUCUUUUACAUAAAAGAAGUGUGUAGUGGGGUGGUCCAGGGCUUUGUGGUGGCUUAGUGGCCAUCGGGGUCCCAGGCUCUUCCCACCUUUCUCUUUUGGGUCCACCUCUUGGCUCCUGGCUUCCUUCCUCUGGGGCCUGACUGUCCAGGAUGGCAGCUGGAGCUCCUGCUCUGGGCACGGUUGGCAUCAGAGCCCACUGCUCCCCAUCCACUCUUUAAUCCAGAUGCUGGUAAUGUCCCUUUCCAAGGCAUAACUAAGAUAAGCUGGAAGGUUCUUACGAGGCUUUGCUAGAGGCCCUGGGAGGUGGGGGGAAAGGCAAGAGGGCAGUGCCCACCCAUAGACCGGGUCACAUGACCUGGCAUCAGCGCCGUGGGGUCCUUUGGGCUUCACCUCCCUCUCCCCUCUGCCCCCACGUCAUCCCACCCUCAUCCUCACCCUCACCAUUCCCAUCCCGUACCGUAAUGUCCCUUGCAAGGCCUAACUCUGUGAGGAAUGAAACCACCUCAUCCUUGUUCCAAUAACAUGAGUGACCGAAUUUACAAACGAGUGAAUGUGGACCUCUGGAAACAUUACCCAGCUUGUUUUUACUUUUCACUUUCUCUUUCUGCCCCUUUCAUUUCCGUAGGAGCCCUUUACCUAGAUGAGAAGUGUCCCCCCGCCUGGGGAAUAUAUCAGUCAGAACAAUCUUCCUGCAGACAUGCACCAUUAGACCCGAGUGACGGUGGUGCCAUUUAAACCUCAGAGCAGGUAAAAGGUGGUCCUGAAACCUGUCUACCCACAGGGUGCUAUGGAAUCUGAAUCACUUCUUUUUUCCUAGAGCCCUGGGGUGGGGAGCUCCCUCAAGUGUUCACAUGUGUGUGGAAUGAGGAACACCCAUCUCCUUGGCCCUCUCCACCCUGAAGAGUUAGUUAUUAAAAUAAUUGGCAAGCUCUUGCAAAUGUCAGUCAUCCAUUGUUCAGAAUGGAAUAGCAAUAAUACAUCCCUGGCUGCCCUGGGCUUGGCCAGGAUUACUCACUGAAGGCCUCAGGGUUACUGGCACACACUUUCUUUUCCUAAUAAUCCCAUCCCCUCAGCUUUCCUAAGGCUAGAGUGAAUUUCGUGUUCCUUUAGUUUACAUAAGAUGGUGAACUUGGCAAAAGCUAUCAUUAAACAGAAGCUAAGAGAAAGCCUAUGUCGUGGAAUCCAGAAUGGGUAUUGCCAUUCACUGCUGUCCACAGAAGCUGUCUUGAAUUUCUUUCUGUGUCUUUUCUUUUUUUUUCUUUAAGACUGUUGUUUACCAGACUGGGCUCUGUGGAACACAGGUGUCCUGGGAGAUGGUUAAUCAUUACAAAAUAUUGGUAACAAUCUAAAGAUGCAUACAUAAGAGAGUGGUCAAAUAAACCAUUUUCCAUUCA